GCCGGUUUAGCUCAGUUGGGAGAGCGUCAGACUGAAGAUCUGAAGGUCCAGCGUUCGAUCCGCUGAAGCGGCA